AAGGGGUGGAGGCCACAGGACUCGACAGCAUCUCGUAGCCGAGGGGCGGAGCUGGCAAGUUCUGGACCACAGCCAGACAGAAACCUAACAUAACCAUUAGAGAGGCUUCACCCAGAAACCGACGGAAACAAAUCCAGAAACCCACAGCCGAACAUUAGAACAAUUCAGUAGAAUGUGGAAACAGCUCUCAUUCCAAGCAAACCCAGAAGGGACUCUGGAGAAAGAAUGGCAGUGGUACCUGUUUGGAGCUUCAUGAGUCUCCUCAACUCCAUCACCUGCACUUUCAAGCUAAGCCAAAUGCAGCUGCUUGGCAACCAUAUUGUCUGUAUUUCCCCUACAAUUCCACUCAGUAUAUCUCUUAUACUAUGCUUCUUCCUAAGCAACGUCCAGUGAAUUUUGUUG
rnacentral:lncRNA from 1 species